GGGCCGCGGGGGUGUUGAUCCCCGGAAUAACCUCCAGGUAACCUAGAUCAAGAGCCCCUCACUAGCGCCAAGGAACCUCCCUUGAGGGGUUCUGGGAUCGAAAUAUACAGUUUUACUAAUAGAAGCCCCACAUAGCCCCAGAAAAAAUAAAGAGAAGGCUGCUGAAAUAUAUUGUGUGGGGCUAGAAAGGGGCCUGGCAUUGUUCUAGAUUCAGUUGAUGGUUUAACAUGUGCUGUUAAUGUUUAUGAGGCCAUUGCCAUCCCUCAUUCCAUCACGAGGGUAGAUACUGUAGGCUGAGAUGUUACUAGGCAAGUGUUUUGGAUGGCAAUGUUUUGUAAUUACAGGCAAGAAAGAUGGUUAAAAAAAAAGUGACACGCCCCUUCCCUGACAGUAUCUUCAUUUCAUAUUAAUCAUGUAUUUACAGUUAUCUCAA